GGUGGUUCUCAGGUGACACACCCCUGAAUGGGCUCCCUCCUCUCUGGUUCCGGGUGCAUCACCCAAGAACCGUA
rfam:Myotis lucifugus cont2.19693, whole genome shotgun sequence.